rnacentral:rRNA from 1 species
UACGUAGGGUGCGAGCGUUAAUCGGAAUACUGGGCGUAAAGCGUGCGCAGGCGGUUUUGUAAGCCAGAUGUGAAAUCCCCGGGCUUAACCUGGGAAUGGCAUUUGGGACUGCAAGGCUGGAGUGUGGCAGAGGAGACUGGAAUUCCCGGUGUAGCAGUGAAAUGCGUAGAUAUCGGGAGGAAUACCGAUGGCGAAGGCAGGUCUCUGGGCUGACACUGACGCUCAUGCACGAAAGCGUGGGGAGCAAACAGG